rnacentral:rRNA from 1 species
AUUUAUUGGGCGUAAAGCGAGCGCAGGCGGUUUCUUAAGUCUGAUGUGAAAGCCUUCGGCUCAACCGAAGAAGUGCAUCGGAAACUGGGAAACUUGAGUGCAGAAGAGGACAGUGGAACUCCAUGUGUAGCGGUGAAAUGCGUAGAUAUAUGGAAGAACACCAGUGGCGAAGGCGGCUGUCUGGUCUGUAACUGACGCUGAGGCUCGAAAGCAUGGGUAGCAAACAGGAUUAGAUACCCUGGUAGUCCAUGCCGUAAACGAUGAGUGCUAGGUGUUGGAGGGUUUCCGCCCUCCAGUGCCGCAGCUAACGCAUUAAGCACUCCGCCUGGGGAGUACGACCGCAAGGUUGAAACUCAAAGGAAUUGACGGGGGCCCGCACAAGCGGUGGAGCAUGUGGUUUAAUUCGAAGCAACGCGAAGAACCUUACCAGGUCUUGACAUCCUUUGACCACUCUAGAGAUAGAGCUUUCCCUUCGGGGACAAAGUGACAGGUGGUGCAUGGUUGUCGUCAGCUCGUGUCGUGAGAUGUUGGGUUAAGUCCCGCAACGAGCGCAACCCUUAUUACUAGUUGCCAGCAUUUAGUUGGGCACUCUAGUGAGACUGCCGGUGACAAACCGGAGGAAGGUGGGGACGACGUCAAAUCAUCAUGCCCCUUAUGACCUGGGCUACACACGUGCUACAAUGGAUGGUACAACGAGUCGCGAGACCGCGAGGUUUAGCUAAUCUCUUAAAACCAUUCUCAGUUCGGAUUGUAGGCUGCAACUCGCCUACAUGAAGCCGGAAUCGCUAGUAAUCGCGGAUCAGCAUGCCGCGGUGAAUACGUUCCCGGGCCUUGUACACACCGCCCAAUGGAAUUCCCGCGGCC